AGGAUGGACAUCAGCCGGCUGUGGUGGC
rnacentral:piRNA from 1 species